CAGCAGCCGCGGGAAUACGGAGGGCGCGAGCGUUACCCGGAUUUACUGGGCGUAAAGGGCGUGUAGGCGGCCUGGGGCGUCCCAUGUGAAAGGCCACGGCUCAACCGUGGAGGAGCGUGGGAUACGCUCAGGCUAGAGGGUGGGAGAGGGUGGUGGAAUUCCCGGAGUAGCGGUGAAAUGCGCAGAUACCGGGAGGAACGCCGAUGGCGAAGGCAGCCACCUGGUCCACUUCUGACGCUGAGGCGCGAAAGCGUGGGGAGCAAACCGGAUUAGAUACCCCCGUAGUCCCUGUCUCUUAUAU
rnacentral:rRNA from 1 species